GUGUAUACAUUUUGUGUGUGUGUGUGUGUGUGUGUGUGUGUGUGUGUGUGUGUGUGUGUGUGUGUUGCGCAAAUCAUUUUAUGCCCUUUCGUAUAAAUUAUCGCAGAAAAAGAAAGAGCCGAAAGUAGGGCGGGCAGAACGUUAUUGAUCACCAUUAACACGAGACACGGAUAAACGUAUAUAACUUUAAUCCCGAUCACAAGAACACGGAAUCGUGUCUUUUUUCAUAUUUUCUGUUACCUAUACUGGUAUAGUAGUAUCCGAUAACAAUAACAGGGGAAUCCUGUUAAAAUCAGAUCAAAUAAUGGGAACGACGUUCAACGUGUAAUUUUAAUAAAUUCAAUUUCAUGUUAGCAGAAAAAUUCACAAGUCAUAUAGAAACUACGAAACGAUAACGGGAUAAAAUAUAGGGUGCGAUGACGGGAGAAGAGGGCAAAAACAGAAUUUUCUACGCUAGGUACAAUGAAUUACGAAACAUUGUUCGCAUGACGCAAGAUCGGAGUCAGAAGUGGUCAUAUCGGCCACUUAAUUAUGUAAUUUUUUCUAACUAGGUUAAAGGAAUAUUUGAGGGAACCACCUGCCUCCAGAAGCAAGGUUAAUUUUCCCAACCACCACGUUUCCAUUUUUUUCUUCUCCUUUCUUUUUCCUCUCCCUCCCCUCUCCCACUUUCUUUCAUACUCGUUUCUCUCUCUGUUCUCGUUUUUUUAAUUUCCUCCCUGCUAACGAGUAUCCUUUUAUACACGUAUUACCAACGAGGCGAGCGAAUUCCCGCGAAUAGACUCGAAAUUAUUCAAAUUGUAGUUUACGAAAUGAAUUAUUCAAUUAUUUCCCGAAGAAGCGGUCGCCACGCUCCACGGCAUACGGAACGAGAACCGCGGCUUUCGUCCGUGUCUUUACAAAUUUACGCUCUCACUGAAUUUUGAUCGCGCUGGAAUUCCCGAAAACUCCUUUUCCUCGCUACUAUCGUCGUCCUCGUUCAUUUUUACGGGAAAGUUUCCUUACCCUGUUCUGGAACUGUAUUCCCAAUCAGAUAGUAUUCAAUUACGAAACGAUUCUCUCUCUUUUGCAGUCCCCCGAUAUCUUGUAUGUAUCAUUGAUAUUCAAUUAGCGGUAGCCCGUUUUAUUAUUCAUUUCAUUACCAGGUUUAGCCUCUUAAUCAACUUCUACACCCUCAUCUCUAACAACUCCGGUAUCUUAGAGUAGAUUCUUCGCUUGAAGGCAAUGAAUAAAACUAUCUCACCAAUUCGUCUACCUAAUUCCUCCGUCUUAAUACUUUUCAUUCGUUUCUUUCUUUCUCUUCAUUUUCAUUUUUUUCUUCUUUUUCCUCAAAUCCUUUAGCACAUACAUCCCUCUUUGUUUCCAACCUUUUCUACAUUCCUUUUUACAAUUCCACCUGACUCGUUCCUCUCUUUUCUUCUUCUCUUCCUCUCUUCCUCUAUCUCUUGAACUUCUUCCUGUUUCCCCUCCUAUACACAUCUGCCUCCAUCCUUUUCCCACCCAACGAAGCAUUGUCUUUUCCGUCCAUCCUUCUUAAGAGUGUCAGUUCUCUCUGGCAGCUGGCUCUUUGUGUACCACCGCGUCUGUCUUUACAAUUCGCAGGCUUUUCCACUGUCUUUCACUCAUUUUUACUCUCGUUCCUCUUCCUCAUGCCCAUUAUCUCUGUCACCUUCCAUGCAACAGAGCACGCCCACUUUCCCGCUCUAUCCUUCGGCCCGCUAUACGCAAUUUUCCAUCGUCCCUCCAACUGCUGUCCCCUACCCCCUACCCCACUUACCUCCUGUCCUCUCGUUUUCAUCUUUUCUAUCCCAUCGUUCUCCUCCCCCUCUCCUCUCUUCAUUCGCGUCCACGCUCUUCAUCCACGUUCUCACUCUUUAUCCCCACCAUUACUACUCUAGCGUUCUCUACCUACCCUAUCGACUUUGCAGUGCUCAAUGUCUCCCUUUUUCUCUCAUAUACCGUCCUUUCUUUGUCAUUCUACCAACUCGUCCCUCCUCUACACGCCACCACUCCUCUUCACCGUUAUUUAUCUCGCCUAUUCCCCCUUCAAACAGGCUGCUUCUGGUGUAUCAGUUCUCGUCCCUCUUCCACGCAUAUUCCUCUCGUUCAACGCCAGACAGUGUGUCAACACCUGCACUACACACACUAUGGUCUUCAUGUUUCCUUUCUUUUCUUUUUUCUUCCCCUUGCUUUCUUCUUCGCUUUUUUUUCAAUUUCCUUCUUCUUUUAACUCUUCGAUUUGGAUUAGGUUUAUCCUUCCCUUGUAAUUUGAUGUUUUAUCUGUUUCAUUUAUUUGGUUAGAGUACAUUUCUAUUCACGUGACUCUGUUGAUGGGUAAAUAAUUUGUAUAUAUGUGAUGUGUUGUAACAUAUGUGAACUUAGAUUAUAUCGUGUAGUUAAUUAGCCCUGUUGUUAUUACAUGUAUUGUUGUAAAUAUAGAAACGAGACGAAUUUAUGUUAUUAAUCAACAUAAUUGAAGUUCGUAUAACAGACGUUCACGUUAGUGCGCAUGAGUUCUACCGCCGGCAGUUAGCUUAACCUAUUAGCUGAGUUUAAUAAGAAAUGACUAUAAUCAAAACGUUAAGAAUGAAUCAAAUGGAUCGAGUUUCACCUUUGUAAAUCUAUUUUUCAAAUUUUCAGCUGGAAUCUAAACGUAUUAUAAUAUACAAAUAUACUAUAUCGUAAGUAAGGCAGUUAUUAUCUAUGAAAGGUUAAGAAUCCGUUUGGCGAAUUAAAUUAUCUUCUCUGAUUAAUAGGUUAAUUAUUAAGAUUUCGUUCAAAUAAAUAAAGGUUUUUUUCAUCUAUUUUGCGACUCUUUUGAUUGUAUAUUUGCUUUAGUAUUUUACGUUGUUACUUCUUGAGUUGUCAAUCGAGUACACUGGUGAUGAAUAUUCGUGGUCGUUGUAGGUGUUUCAAGGGAGGUAGCAUUGUUUGAGGAGGGAUUGUGAGUUUUGCAAGUUCGGUUUGGAGAAGUUUGAGAUGGGAUUAACUGUAUGAUUGUGUCGACGCGGUUUCUGUCGCAUGGGCCGUACUAGUCGUACAUGCACCAUGGCAAAGCGUGGAUGAAUGUCUGGAUUUAAAACCUUUUCCAAAAUGGCACAUUGCUAUAGAGAUAUUAAGAAUUGUUGAUUUAUAUAAGGACUUGGCGAUUAGCAGCUAAAUAUACAAAGGACAUGAAAAUCAAAGACUUUCAAAUAUUAUGAUAUUAUUUUUGGUUAAUGUUUCAAUAUCUUGGGUUUUGAUAUUUUUUAUACUUUUAACUGCAAUAGUAAUAUUUUGCGACAUAUAUAUCUAUAUUUACAAUGAAAUAUCGCAUAUUUUUCGACUUGACGGGAAGACAGUACCGAAUUUUUAAAAAUAAACGUAACAGGAGAUGUUUUCUCUCUGAAGCAUUUAAAAGUAGCAAGAAAAUAGAAAAAAAAGUGGAGCUGUGUGGCGAAAACGGGAAGUCACGAAGAAUCAGUCCCGCGGGCGUUAACCAGACUUCCGGCGUAAUUAAUUUCCGAUCGAUGGGAAAGUUAGCGGAAGAUUUAAUGUUCCUAGAGUUAUUACAUUCCUUCCAAACUCUUCACCGGAAGUAUAAGUAUAUCCCUUGGGAGGAAAAUCCCUUCAAAACGAUUUCUCUAAUUAUAUCCUUUAUCGAAGGUCACAGAAGUACAACGCCUUUCAUAAGUCGCCAAACAUUUGCCAGGUUUAAUCUUUUAAGUCAUAUCUAUUGACAUGAACUGGCUUAUAAAAGUAUUUGGAUGUUUAUCAUAAAAACUUUUAUGCUCAUAUUGUAUUUACUGUAUAAAACAUUUAAACAUUUUAUUAGCAUUUCAAGAAUACACAAUACAUGACAUAAUAUGAUAGUGGCCUUUGUUUGAAUAGAGGAGUGUUAGCAAUAAUAAAAGAACUCUUAUUUAAUUUUCAUGGUAGAAGCGAAAUAAAAUAUAAAGGAUAUAUAAUUUUCCAUCCUUUACCUUUUUUCAUUAAUUCAAACAUGAUUUCAAAAGAUAUAGUGAAUUUUAUUGUAAAUAAAUAUUAUUGAAUGUACACAAUUUUCAAAUGAAUAGUUAAACUUAACCUUAAAAUGUAUAUUGCAUAUGUAGGAAAGAUAUAUAAUUUUCCAUCCUUUACCUUUUUUCAUUAAUUCAAGCAUGAUUUCAAAAGAUAUAAUGAAUUUUAUUGUAAAUAAAUAUUAUUGAAUGUACACAAUUUUCAAAUGAAUAGUUAAACUUAACCUUAAAGUGUAUAUUGCAUAUCUAGGAAAGAUAAAAAAUAAUUACCUACUUUAGAUGUAUAUGAAUUUUUUCUUGAACAAGUAUAUAAUUUUUCUUAAAACAGGUCUACGAUAAGAUUUUUGAGAUAUAAUAUAAUUUAGUUUUCCUUCUAUUACACCCGGUUAAUAAGUGUCAGCUUCAUCUUGUAAUUAUAACGGUCAUUUAUCCCUAGCUUGAAUGUAUAGUUGGUGGAAGAGAUAUAGUGAGGUCGUAAAUUAAAGUAUUAAUCGGCGGACCCAAGAAAAAGAUUAAUGGACUACAUAUCUCAUUAAAAAAAGUUAUAUAAUCCUCUAUUCUUUUCCUAGAUCUAAGUGCAUUAUAGUCCGUAUUAUUAUACUAUUUAUUGCUAAAAAAACGAAUCCAUUUCGAAAAGACAAAUAAUAAUUGUUGAAUAAUUUGAUAAACUGUUAUAAAUAUCCACUGUGUUACUGUAUAUCGCGUUUUCUAUAUGUAGGGUCUACAGGAUGAGUUAAUCCCGUUACUCUCAUAAUUAACUAAUCCUACUAAUAAUAACAACUUAUAUUACCGUGUUUUAAAAAUAUACAAAUUGACGCAUGGUAGUGAUAUAUCUGAUUUCUGAAUGGUAGUAAUUUUUCUUACGUCACGACUACCGUUAAUUUUGAGAAACAUUCAAACUUCACUGCGUACUUUCCUUUUAUCAAGUUUAUAUGAUUGAACCUAACCUAUCUUGUUAUCGCAAUUAGACUACCGCUUUGCUUCUAUACUUAGUUAAUCCUAUUAGUGACUUAUGCACAUUUAAAGAUCAUCUAAAUUAACACAUGCAACUGUGAAUAUCCAUCGAUUUAUGAAUUAGAUAUAUGUAUUGUAUAUUUCAUGUUUCACAUUCAUCCUAUUGCUACCCUUCCGAUUCUCCUAAUUCCAACGAGACCGAUUUCUUUUCCGUUAUUAUUUUCCUGUCCAAUACCAUUUCUACUAUAUUCAAUAAGGCAAUGAACCAAUUAGUCGAUAAAAAAAACUUUCUCGAUCUCCAACUUCCCCCACCACUACUCUUUCCCCUCCUUCCCCUCCUUUCCUUCUUCGACCAAAGUGCUCCACCUAUUCUUUUUUCGUCUGUUCCAACUUCAGCAGCGUCCAUUUUUACUUCUUGCUCAAACUCUUCCUUUUGUUAUUUUUCCUCCAACCACCUUUUAGGCGGGUUUCCACCGGGGAGUUUCUCUUUCACGAUUCACUCGACGCCCACCGUGGACGAGGUGACCGUGCAGAACGAUCGGAUUAAUUUUUUUUUCUUCCCCUUUUCCUUCUUCUUCUUCCCCUUUUUUCUUCUUCUUCUUCCUUUUCUUCUUUUUUGUCGUUGAAAUCCAUGAGGCUUAUGAAUCAAUUUUUUAAUCACUCGAUUACAUCAGCCAUCAGUUCCGUUUCCGAUAUAGACAUAGCUGCUUUUCCUUUUUCUUUUUCUUCUUUUCCUUUUUUCUGUUUCUUUCUCUAUCUUUUCUUUGACUUUUUCUUCUUCUUUGUCGUUAUAAUCCAUAAGGCCUCUGUAUCAAUAUUUUAAUCACUCGAUUACAUGAGCCAUCUGUUUAGUUUCCAAUACAGGUACUGCUGCAUUUUAUUUCUUUUUCUUUCUCUAUUUUUUGCUUGAUUUCUCUCGUUUUUGCGUCGUUGAAAUCUAUGAAGCUUAUGAAUCAAUAUCUUAAUCAUUCGAUUACAUCAGCCAUCAGUUUCGUUCCCGAUACAGACAUGGUUGCUCUUUUUCUUCUCCUUCUACCUCUUUCUCUUUUUCUAUUUUUUGUUUGAUUUCUUCUUCUUGUUUUUUCGUCAUUGAAAUCUAUGAGGAUUAUGAAUUAAUUAUUUAAUCACUCGAUUACAUCAAUUACCAGUUCCGUUUCCGGUAAAGAAAGGUUCUUUUUCUCAUUUCGCUGCCUAUUACGAUUACCUUUUUCGAACACUUCCUCCUUUUGAAAACUUCUACGCCAACUACUCCAUCUAACACGAUCUUUCUCUCAUUCCCGCACACAGCUUCACUCCAUUCGUCUGUCUAAGUAAGAACAUCUUUCGUUAGUUAAACAUAACUUUGCUGUGAGUUGUAAGGGUUAGGUUGUCGUUUCCUUCAUUGUUGGAGUUGUGUUCUUCUUCUUUUGUUGGGUCACUGUUUGUUUGUUCUUUGAGAGGGAGAGAGAGAUUUGAGGUUGGGAUUGGUUUGAUACACUUUAGGCUUCGUUACUUUGUUUGUAAUUUUUGAAAGUAAUAUUUAUGGAACGAUGGGAAAAGUGAGGUUAAGUAGAGUAAAAUGUAAGAAUAGAUAGAUAUCGAUAUCGAGAUUGAACAAUUUCAGUACUCGCAUUUUUAAUUGUACGAAAUUUCAAAAUUUUAAUUCUUCAACAUUUUCAAAAUUUCAAAUUCUCAUACUUCUAAAAUUCGUCAUCGUGCAAUGAUAUGUUUACUGAAAUUCUAUGCGCUACUUUACUGCUUGGUCCUUAAUUGGUUAAUCGCGAUACCAAAGACAAAUGAAAUAUGUUUUUAUUUCGGUUUUAAUAAAAUUAUUCAACAAAAUCAUUUAAUCUGACAUCGACGAUAAAUAUUUCAUAAUGUAUAUCAUGCACGUGCGACGUACAGCGUUGGUUUGAGAAUCGCUGUGUUAAAUAAUUCGAAGCUCUGCCAUCCGAUACAAAACUGCAGUUCGAUAGUAUUGGACAUUUAAAAAUAGAUAUGCAGUAGCAGACAAAAGGAAAUUUAAAAUUGAUAUCCAUAUCUGUAUACGUAUGAAUUUCCAGUAAUUUUUGUAUUUCACACCGUGUUAUACGUAUAUAGCUAUAUAUUUACAACGUAUUUAUUCAUUGCUUUCCGCGAUAAAUACUCACACUAAAUUUCACUUCCUACGCUUUUAUAUUUUAUUUGCGUUUUAUUUCAUCGUUUAUUUUACCUCUUUCUUCUUUAACACUAACCUUACCAGGCCCACUUUCAAACUUCAAUUUAAAAUUGUACAUUCAUUAUUAUUCCUUUUGUUCGUCUGACUUUAUGUAAAUACUUAUAUUAUUUGAACAAUGAAUUUCUCAAUUUUUGUCAACGCAAUAAAUUACAUAAAGUUGGAUGAACGAAAGAAAUAACAAUGAAUGUACAACUUCAAAUGGAAUUUUGAAACUGGUCAUUUGACCAGGUCUGGUAAGGUUAGUAUUCGGUUAAUUAUAUUGGCAAAUUUUAAUUGAAAGAAUAUUAUGUUUAAAGUGGAUUAGAGAGUUAUUGAAACGUGUAAAUGCAGAUAUUUGUUGCAGUACAUUUGCUUUCCAAACAAACAGAAAAUCAUAAUGAAACGUAGUACGUUUAAUAAAAUAGGAAUCUUCAUACUUGACAGCUGUAAAUAAAGUAACCGCUGCAUUUUCGUAAAUCGGUAUUAUUACAUUGCACUGAUAUCCUUGCAACUUUCUACAGUAGCUAUUCGCUAAUUCAAGUUUUCAACACGAGAUCGUCCUGUUAAUUAUGGAAGGUAUAAAAUCGUUCGUCUGUUAUUUUUUGCCCUAGUUUAAUGAAGUAAAUAAUGAAUUAUUUGUCGGAUUCUGUUUCAACAGCGAGUAUCAAGUUGCAUCUCCGUUACUUGAAAAUGUAAUUCCUCCAACUAAUGGUCUUACAAGAGAUAUAAAACCAAUUUUAUAUAAAUAUUGUAUUCUUAGAUAGUAUAACGUGUUAAUUUAUUUUUUCUGCUAGACGGCUUUGCAAAUUUCCAAGUAAUUUAUUCGUUAAGGAAUUAUUAAAAAUUUCAUAUUUCCAACAUUUUCAAAUUCACAAUUUAUCCAUCGAUAAAUAUUCAAUGUUUCAUAUUCUAAUUUAGAAAUUAAAGGAGGAUGUUAAAAAAUGGCUAUUUUUGCACCGCGGUUCAUUUAAGAACAUCUCUCUCGAAGAACGAAAAUUGUUAUUAGCAUUUAUCCGAAACGUGAUGGGCGAGUUGAAAAAAAUGAACGUAAAGAUGAAAAAGUGGUAGGGGAUCAAAUUUAUUCGUGCGUUCCAUACACUUAAUCUACAUAUUUUUCAAAUUCUGCUCCAGCUACAGUAUGAUUAUUCGUCCAUAUCGACAUAAUAAUUCUUCAGAAAUUCUGCUGACAAAUCAAUUGAAGUUUGAAAUCGAACAAAUCUGAAGUAGCAGAUUGUUGUUACGCGAGAACAAUAGCCAACGAUUCUAUGAUACUUCGGAUUUGCUCGAUUCCAAACUUCAAUUCACUUACCAGCAGAAUUUCUAAAGAAUUAUUUCGUAAGUGGAUCAGAAUCCGAAGAAGAUGAAGAUUAAGUAUAACGCGUGGGUAAGUUUGGUUGCCAUUUUUUCAUCUUUGCGCUCAUCUUUUUCAACUUUCCCAGUUUACGUUUCACUUUCACAUUUCACAUAAAUGUUAGUAACGGUUUUCGUUCCUUCAGAGAUUCUCAAAUUUAUCGUUCGCAUGAAGGUCGAAAAGUGGCCAUUUUUUGACAUCCUCCUUUGCAAAAGUUCCAAGCUUACAGUUUAUUUAUUAAAACUUUAUAUUUUAUUCCUCAAAUCGUUGUGUGACUUUGAUAAAUUUUUGCUUGUGUCACAUGUUAUUAGGUUGUGUAACAGGGUUAAUUUCUACAGGGUGGUUGGUAACU